UGAGCAAUCUGCCCUUCUCAUCGGAAUAAGCGUUGGAAACGACGUCUAAUGCCGAAUACGACCUCCUUUCGCAUGAUCGGAGGUGGAAAGCUCCGGCGGAGAAGGAUGAGCUCGCGGCCUAUCAGCUAGUUGGUUUGGGUAAUGGCCCACCAAGGCGAUGACGGGUAGCCGGCCUGAGAGGGUGACCGGCCACACUGGGACUGAGACACGGCCCAGACUCCUACGGGAGCAG
rnacentral:rRNA from 1 species